UACGUAGGGUGCAAGCGUUGUCCGGAAUUAUUGGGCGUAAAGAGCUCGUAGGCGGUUUGUCGCGUUGUUCGUGAAAUCUCACGGCUUAACUGUGAGCGUGCGGGCGAUACGGGCAGACUAGAGUACUGCAGGGGAGACUGGAAUUCCUGGUGUAGCGGUGGAAUGCGCAGAUAUCAGGAGGAACACCGGUGGCGAAGGCGGGUCUCUGGGCAGUAACUGACGCUGAGGAGCGAAAGCGUGGGGAGCGAACAGG
rnacentral:rRNA from 1 species